rnacentral:rRNA from 1 species
UCGCCUACGGGGGGCAGCAGUGGGGAAUAUUGCACAAUGGGGGAAACCCUGAUGCAGCGACGCCGCGUGAGUGAAGAAGUAUUUCGGUACGUAAAGCUCUAUCAGCAGGGAAGAAAGAAAGUCCUUUGGACUUUGGACGGUACCUGACCAAGAAGCCCCGGCUAACUACGUGCCAGCAGCCGCGGUAAUACGGAGGAUGCGAGCGUUAUCCGGAUUUAUUGGGUUUAAAGGGUGCGCAGGCGGUCUGUUAAGUCAGCGGUCAAAGCCCGGGGCUCAACCCCGGCCCGCCGUUGAAACUGGCAGUC